rnacentral:rRNA from 1 species
AUUGAACGCUGGCGGCAGGCCUAACACAUGCAAGUCGAACGGUAACAGGAAGAAGCUUGCUUCUUUGCUGACGAGUGGCGGACGGGUGAGUAAUGUCUGGGAAACUGCCUGAUGGAGGGGGAUAACUACUGGAAACGGUAGCUAAUACCGCAUAACGUCGCAAGACCAAAGAGGGGGACCUUCGGGCCUCUUGCCAUCGGAUGUGCCCAGAUGGGAUUAGCUAGUUGGUGGGGUAACGGCUCACCAAGGCGACGAUCCCUAGCUGGUCUGAGAGGAUGACCAGCCACACUGGAACGGAGACACGGUCCAGACUCCUACGGGAGGCAGCAGUGGGGAAUAUUGCACAAUGGGCGCAAGCCUGAUGCAGCCAUGCCGCGUGUAUGAAGAAGGCCUUCGGGUUGUAAAGUACUUUCAGCGGGGAGGAAGGGAGUAAAGUUAAUACCUUUGCUCAUUGACGUUACCCGCAGAAGAAGCACCGGCUAACUCCGUUCCAGCCGCCGCGGUAA